AUUGAACGCUGGCGGCAGGCCUAACACAUGCAAGUCGAACGCGUGGCGGACGGGUGAGUAAUGUCUGGGAAACUGCCUGAUGGAGGGGAAUAACUACUGGAAACGGUAGCUCAUACCGCAUACCAUCGGAUGUGCCCAGAGUGGAUUAGCUAGUAGGUGGGGGAAAUGCUGACCUCGGCGCAGAUCCCUCGCUGGUCUGAGAGGAGGACCAGCCACACUGGAACUGAGACACGGGCCAGACGCCUACGGUAGGCAGCAGUGGGGAAUAUUGCACAAUGGGCGAAAGCCUGAUGCAGCCAUGCCGCGUGUAUGAAGAAGGCCUUCGGGUUGUAAAGUACUUUCAGCGGGGAGGCGUUACCCGCAGAAGAAGCACCGGCUAACUCCGUGCCAGCAGCCGCGGUAAUAC
rnacentral:rRNA from 1 species